AACGAACGCUGGCGGCAUGCCUAACACAUGCAAGUCGAACGAGACCUUCGGGUCUAGUGGCGCACGGGUGCGUAACGCGUGGGAACCUGCCCUUAGGUUCGGAAUAACUCCCCGAAAGGGGUGCUAAUACCGGUUAAUGUCUUCGGACCAAAGAUUUAUCGCCUUUGGUUGGGCCCGCGUUGGAUUAGCUAGUUGGUAGGGUAAAAGCCUCCCAAGGCGACGAUCCAUAGCUGGUCUGAGAGGAUGAUCAGCCACACUGGGACUGAGACCCGGCCCAGACUCCUACGGGAGGCAGCAGUGGGGAAUAUUGGACAAUGGGCGAAAGCCUGAUCCAGCAAUGCCGCGUGAGUGAUGAAGGCCUUAGGGUUGUAAAGCUCUUUUACCCGGGAUGAUAAUGACAGUACCGGGAGAAUAAGCUCCGGCUAACUCCGUG
rnacentral:rRNA from 1 species